GCUCAGCUUUGUUUUACCACGGUCCCUAAGUUACAGCUGAAGAACCCUGGCUGUUGGAAGAGAGGGCGUCGGGCUGAGAGACCCAGACCUUUACCUCAGUUUCUCCACUGAUCUUCUGCUUGACGUGGGGCCAUUUCAUUCAAUAUGAUUUUUGGAACAUCACGAGAUCCUGUCAAAACAAAGAAAAGAAAAGAAAGAAGAGAAAAAGAGACAGACACUCUGGGGAGAAUCCAGGUGACAUGGAGGCAGAGGGUGGCGUCCGGAAGGUAAGGGACAGCAGGGGUCGCCAGCGUCACCGGAAGCAGAGGGGCAGGGAAGGACAGUACAGAGAGCAGGCCCUCCUUUCAGCCUCUGGAGUUGUGAGAGAACACACUUCUGUUGUUGAAACGACUCCCUACGCCUCUGACCCACACAGUGUGAUCCCAGUCCCUGCCUCUCCCCAAGCUCUCCGGAUUCUAAACUCCUUCUCUUCCUCUUUGUCCCCUAGCCAGAUCCUCAUCCUCCCUCACCUGCUUUACCUCAGCAGCUAAGACCUUGCCUGGGUCUGUAGCAGUAGCUAGAGCGGUCUUGCGAGGUGAUGCCCCAGGGAAUCUCCUCACCCCUCUGGAUCCUACUGCAGAAGGCCAUGAGGCCAACACAAAGAAGCUCUUCGAUACUCGCUAUGGUUUGGAUGUGGUUUGUGAGCUGGAAGCUUGGUUCCUAGUGUGGUGAAGUUAAGAAGUGCUGGGACCAGUCAGGAACUCUGUCCUACGAAGCAACGGCCCGCACGCCCACUCCCUGAAGCCCCCGGCAAUCUUCACCCCUCUACUUCUCGUCUCUGUGGACUGGCCUUAUUUAUAGGUUAUUUCAUGGAAGUGGAAUCAUACGCUGUGUGCUUCCUUUCCUUUCUGACUUCUUUCAUUCGACGUCACGUUUUCUAGGCGAGUCCGCCUUGCAGUGUGCAGCAGGAUCUUUUCCAUGGGUAUUGAACUCAGGUCCUUGCUCUUGAGAGGCAGGCA